UUUCAUGCUUCUCUGGACAGUGCCUC
rnacentral:piRNA from 1 species